rnacentral:rRNA from 1 species
UACGAAGGGGGGCUAGCGUUGCUCGGAAUUACUGGGCGUAAAGCGCACGUAGGCGGCUUUCUAAGUCGGGGGGUGAAAUCCUGGAGCUCAACUCCAGAACUGCCUUCGAUACUGGGACGCUUGAGUAUGGUAGAGGUUGGUGGAACUGCGAGUGUAGAGGUGAAAUUCGUAGAUAUUCGCAAGAACACCGGUGGCGAAGGCGGCCAACUGGACCAUUACUGACGCUGAGGCGCGAAAGCGUGGGGAGCAAACAGG